rnacentral:lncRNA from 7 species
AUAUCCUAAUGAGCCUAAUUGGUAGCAUGAAUGUGACUCCCUUGAGAAUAGAGAUAGAAAGAAACCAGACAGACACAGAGACAGAUAUUUUGCUGAAAAGCUGAAAAAAUUUCCUGAGUUGCACAGAGCCUUUUUAUGCUGAUUUCCCUCUGCUUCUGAUGGACGCUAUUUGCUGUAUACUCUGCUCCUGUUGCUUCUCUUGCUUCCUUAGCUUCCCAGACUGACAGCAACAUUUGUUUCUGAUAGUUUGAAUCAGUGUCAAAGAGUCUGAGACCAGCAGCAGGUAGAUUAGAGGGGUUAUCAUCUUCCUGUGGGCAGAGUUUUGGCACUGCAAUUUACCAGGAUUUUUGCAGGUAGAGCCUACCACGAUGCUUUGAUCAGACAUAGCUGUGUCCGUGUAAAAAAAGUACUGAUGACUUGAGCAAUAUGCAGGCUGCAUCCCUUGUUAAGACUUCCCAAAUGGCAGGCUUUUUCCAGUGGACAGUAACUAAGGAAACAUGAGAACCAACACCUGCUGUACUGCUGAGAAACAAGGCUGUGGUGAAUGAAAUUUCAAGCAGACAGAAGUCAAAGAAUAAGAAAUAUGUCUAUAUUUUUUCCACAUGUGGUGUAAUUAAAUUGUGGAUAAUCUGGAUGAUAAAAGUUUAGAUGACUUAAAAAAAAAUCCAUUACUGAGAUCUAUCUAAGAAAUAUUCAUUAAAUGCUGACAAACAU